UUACAGAUGAUAAUAGUGCGGGCAAUUAGUAUAUAUUGAAUUUAGAACGCGUUAUAAAUAUGAAACGGGGCGUGAAAUUUUAUUUUGUGAACUUUACAAAUACCGUACGAUGCGUGAUGACGUAGUCAAAAUGGCAGCUACCGCAAUUACAGCAGAGCUGAAAUUCAGAGACGGUCGAGCUCCGAAAGUGGAGCAAAUAAACGUCCCAGUCGAGAACACGCUCCCGUCUUUAAUCACAGGGCUUCACAAAAUGAGCGAGAACGUCUCACGGAUUCUCAGCGAGCUCGUAGACAAGGAAAAAGUCGCUGCAGGCUGCGCAGCUGAUGACGAAGAAGCCUGCGAAGACGACGACAGCGACGAUGAAGGCGAAAAAGAACCCAAGUCGGAGCCUCACCCGCCUGCGAAAAGAUCCAAAACGUGAUGAGUCCAACAGAGCAUCAUGUAAUUUCCAACACCAUAGAGAUAACUUUUUUUUUACACUAAAAGGGUCAAUAAAAACUUGAAACAAUA